rnacentral:lncRNA from 1 species
ACAUCAGGUGGGACUGAUCUGGACUGUUAUGACUGAACAGAACAUCAGGUGGGACUAGAUCUGGACUGUUAUGACUGAACAGAACAUCAGGUGGGACUAGAUCUGGACUGUUAUGACUGAACAGAACAUCAGGUGGGACUAGAUCUGGACUGUUAUGACUGAACAGAACAUCAGGUGGGACUAGAUCUGGACUGUUAUGGCUGAACAGAACAUCAGGUGGGACUAGAUCUGGACUGUUGAACAGAACAUCAGGUGGGACUAGAUCUGGGCUGUUAUGACUGAACAGAACAUCAGGUGGGACUAGAUCUGGACUGUUAUGACUGAACAGAACAUCAGGUGGGACUAGAUCUGGACUGUUGAACAGAACAUCAGGUGGG